rnacentral:rRNA from 1 species
CCUACGGGAGGCAGCAGUGGGGGAUAUUGGACAAUGGGGGGAACCCUGAUCCAGCGACGCCGCGUGAGUGAAGAAGUAUUUCGGUAUGUAAAGCUCUGUCAGCAGGGAAGAAAGCAAUGACGGUACCUGACCAAGAAGCCCCGGCUAACUACGUGCCAGCAGCCGCGGUAAUACGUAGGGGGCAAGCGUUAUCCGGAAUUACUGGGUGUAAAGGGAGCGUAGACGGCUGUGCAAGUCUGGAGUGAAAGGCGGGAGCCCAACCCCCGGACUGCUCUGGAAACUGUAAUGCUGGAGUGCAGGAGAGGUAGGCGGAAUUCCUGGUGUAGCGGUGAAAUGCGUAGAGAUUAGGAGGAACACCAGUGGCGAAGGCGGCUUACUGGACUGUAACUGACGUUGAGGCUCGAAAGCGUGGGGAGCAAACAGGAUUAGAUACCCGAGUAGUC